CUUUCUGUCUAUAAAAACGUAAGUUUGAAACUACUGGUCACCAUUGUUCAAAACCCAGUUCAGGAGAGUCCAGAGUCCAGUCUUGUGACGUCAUGAAACUGUUACUCCUCUUCGUUCUUGUGUGUCUGGUGGCGCCCUCUGUUGGGUGGAGAGUCCGCUGGGGACGGGUGGCUACAGCAGCAGCUGUUGCAUGGAUUGGGAAAAGAGGCAUUGAGAAUUUCGACCUCAACAAGGACGGGUAUGUUGAUCAGUCAGAAGCCGAGAAACAACUGAGCACCAGAGAUGCUGAAACCCUCAUGAAGAUGGCUAAUGAAGAGGUAGAUGGCAAGUCGGCUGUAUCUGUGAAUGAGUUUACACGCUAUCUUCAGGAUAUCUAGAACGAUCCCAGUAGAGACGUACGAAAAUCCUAUUCACCGAAUUACGGAUCACUGAGUAAAGUAUUUUUCAUGCAUGAAUAAAAUCUGCAAAUAA